rnacentral:hammerhead_ribozyme from 1 species
ACCCUGACGAGUCCCAAAUAGGACGGAACACGAGUCCUGGAU